rnacentral:misc_RNA from 1 species
UUUCCGUAGGUGAACCUGCGGAAGGAUCAUUAUUGUAUAACCGAGGGCCGAAGUCUAUCGCUUACCCGAAAGGGCGUGCGCGCCCGAGUGCCCUCACACACAUCCAUCUCACCCCUCUGUGCUGCACCGCGUGGGUCCCCCUUUGGCUUGUUCGGAGGUGGGCUUACGCUUUCACACAAACUUUGUAUGAAGUGUAGAAUGUAUUUUUUGUUUUUGCGAUCACGCAAUCAAUACAACUUUCAACAACGGAUCUCUUGGCUCUC